GUUUUAAUAAUUUAAUAAAAAUAUUAGUUUUGUAAACUAAAAUUAGGAUAUUCCUUUAAAACA
rnacentral:tRNA from 1 species